AAACUCCAAAUACUAAAAUCCUCUUUUUCAAGAAAUACAAUUUUCAUGAGUUGAGCUGGAAUACUAUUAAUAAUAUUUAAGCUUUUUUCCUAUCGAUUUUUUAAUCGUUCGAUCUACACUUUAAUCAAUUCCACCCUUUAGAUCAUACUAUUCAACCAAUGACGCACUCAACCCUAGGGGGACCACUACUAAACCCUAGGUUUCGUUUGUUUCGAGGUCAAGUAAAAACUAGUUAUUUCAGGGAUAGGUAUAAGUUAGCAGUCUGGAAGAAACCAAUUUUGCUUUUGGAUGGAAAUUGAACUGUUUCCGAUAAUAAGAAAAAUAACAUUUGGAUAGAUAAAGUGGUAUAAGAAUAAUAGUAGGUAGUUAUAAAUAGAAAAUAAUGAUAUUGCCCCUUAUAUUNUCCAGCUAAGUUUAUUUCUAAAUGAAAUAAACGAAAUAGGUAGCGUGCUAUGUAUCUCUCAAAAAAAUAAAAUAAAAUUAAAUAAAAUUAAAAAAAAAAAAACUUCACCUCCCAAAAAAGAUGUUUGGGAAUAAGGGGAAAGGGAUAACCCCUCAAAGGCACCGACCGUUCCUAGAGUAAGUGGCAAAGGGCUUGAUGGUUAAUUGGUACCCGAGGUCCUAAGUUCGAAUUCUAGUUGAUUCAUAUUUCUAUCUAAAUUUAUUUUUAAAUGAAAUAAACGAAGCGGGUAGUGUGCUAUCUAUCUCUCUUAAAAAAAGAAAAAAGAAAAAGAAAAAAAAAAAUCCACCUCCCAAAACGGUGUCAAGCCUUAGGUGCUAUUGGAGCAACUUCCACCUGAUCAAAAGAUGGAUCACUCACAAUGUGGAGCACAAGGCAAUUGAGCACAAGAAGACGGCUAGCCUGAGCCUAAGGGUCGAGCAGUCCACCACUACUAGGUGGUUGCAGGAUGUGCAAGUAGGGUACGUGGAUCUGUAGUAAAUGUUUCCAUAUAUAUAUAUAUAUAUAUAUAUAGAGAGAGAGAGAGAGAGAGAGAGAGAGAGUUGAUCUAGGAUACUUACAAGUAUCAUCCUUAUGUUGCUAUCACGUUUUUAGCCAUAGGAUUUACUUUUUGAUUACAAAUAGUUCUUGAAUCAAACACUAUUCCACCUACCACCUCCUACCACCACCUACCACCAUCAUCUCAAUCUCACAUCUUUUCAUCCAAGGACUCAAAACACACAAGUAUCACUUGGGUGGUACUUGUAAAAGUAUUCUAGCCCUACUAUAUAUAUAUAUAUAUAUAUAUAUAUAUAUAUAAAUCUCGCGAUAUGAGAGUCUAUGCGUACGUGCAUGUUGCGGAGAACAAGUACCCUCGAUAGUUUGUGCUCAGCAACGGAUUUCUAGAUCUGCAUCGGGAGCUGGCUGGUGAUCGUGCUCAGCAGAGCAAGGCACUCGAUGCUCGUGAGAGCACGAUAGACUACGAGCGAGGCUAUGCAAUCUAGGAUUUGCACAGAUGCACGAUGAAUACGUCUACGCUAUAGGUGGGGAAGGGUUUUUUAAAAAUAAGUAUAAGUAAAAGCUAAGAGUUACUUGGUUCUUUACAUUCUCUAUAAUCAAUAAAUGGUUCAUUUUUAUUUUUACUCACCUGGCCUAUAAAUAGGAAGCCCUCAAACCAGCCACAAACUCCAAAUAUUAAAAUCCUCUUUUUCAAGAAAUACAAUUUUCAUGAGUUGAGCUGGAAUACUAUUAAUAAUAUUUAAGCUUUUUUGCUAUCAAUUUUUUAAUCUUUCGAUCUACACUUUAAUCAAUUCCACCCUUUAGAUCAUACUAUUCAACGAAUGACACACUCAACCCUAGGGGGACCACUACUAAACCCUAGGUUUCGUUUGGUUCGAGGUAAAGUAAAAACUAGUUAUUUCAGGAAUAGGUAUAAGUUAGCGGCCUGGAAGAGAUCAAUUUUGUGUCUGGCUGAAAAUUGAGUUGUUUCCAAAAAUAGCAUUUGGUUAGAUAAAGUGGAAUAAGAAUAAUAGUAGGUAGUUAUAAAUAGAAAAUAAUGAUAUUUUUCCUUAUAUUUAAACAUAAAUUUUUAAAUUUUAUAUUUAAAAUUUAAAAUUUAAAUAUAUAACUUUAAAAAUUAAAAAAUUCAAAAUAAAAUUUUAAUUUUUAAAUAUCAAAUUCAAAAUUUUAAAGUUUUAAAUUAUAAAUUUAA
rnacentral:lncRNA from 1 species